UCCCGACGCUGUGAAGGGCCUCACCCCUGUU
rnacentral:piRNA from 1 species